rnacentral:rRNA from 1 species
GACGAACGUUGGCGGCGUGCCUAACACAUGCAAGUCGAACGGGGCCCGCAAGGGUUCAGUGGCGAACGGGUGCGUAACACGUGAAGAAUUUGUCCAACGGCGGGGGAUAGCCGGCCCAACGGCCGGGUAAUACCGCGUACGACCCUCGGGGGGCAUCCCCUGAAGGUGAAAGCCGCAAGGCGCCGAUGGAGAACUUCGCGGCCUAUCAGCUAGUUGGUGAGGUCAUGGCCUACCAAGGCGACGACGGGUAGCCGGCCNGAGAGGGCGACCGGCCACACUGGGACUGAGACACGGCCCAGACUCCUACGGGAGGCAGCAGUGGGGAAUAUUGCGCAAUGGGCGGAAGCCUGACGCAGCGACGCCGCGU